GGACGGGAGGCAGCAGUUAGGAAUCUUCCCCAAUGGGCGAAAGCCUGAGGGAGCGAUUCCGCUUGAAGGACGAAGCCCCUCGGGGUGUAAAUUUGUGAACUUGGGACGAUAAUGACGGUACCAAGGUAAUAGCACCGGCUAACUCCGUCCCAGCAGCCGCGGUAAUACGGAGGGCGCAAGCGUUUCCCGGAUUUACUGGGUGUAAAGGGCGUGUAGGCGGUCUUUUCAAGUCCGAUGCUAAAGACUGAGGCUCAACCUCAGGAGUGCGUUGGAUACUCUGAGGCUAGACGGUGGGAGAGGGUAGCGGAAUUCUCGGAGUAGCGGUGAAAUGUACAGAUACCGAGAGGAACGCCAAUAGCGAAAGCAGCUACCUGGACGAUUAGUGACGCUGAGGCGCGAAAGCGUGGGGAGCAAACCGGAUUAGAUCCCCGGGUAGUCCACCCCCUAAACGAUGAGUGCUGGGUGUCCGGCGUCCGCUCGGUGCCGCAGCUAACGCGUAAGCACU
rnacentral:rRNA from 1 species